rnacentral:rRNA from 1 species
ACUCAAAUGAAUUGACGGGGGCCCGCACAAGCGGUGGAGUAUGUGGUUUAAUUCGACGCAACGCGAAGAACCUUACCCAGCCUUGACUUCUGGAGAACCUGGUGGAAACACCGGGGUGCCCUCGCAAGAGGGAGCUCCAAGACAGGUGCUGCAUGGCUGUCGUCAGCUCGUGUCGUGAGAUGUUCGGUUAAGUCCGGCAACGAGCGCAACCCUUGCUUCCAGUUGCCAUCAUUCAGUUGGGAACUCUGGAGGAACUGCCAGCGCCAAGCUGGAGGAAGGUGGGGACGACGUCAAGUCAUCAUGGCCUUUAUGGCUGGGGCUACACACGUACUACAAUGGCGUCUACAGAGGGCCGCGAAGCCGCAAGGUGAAGCAAAUCCCAAAAAAGACGCCUCAGUUCGGAUUGCAGUCUGCAACUCGACUGCAUGAAGUCGGAAUCGCUAGUAAUCGCGGAUCAGAACGCCGCGGUGAAUACGUUCCCGGGCCUUGUACACACCGCCCGU